rnacentral:rRNA from 1 species
GUGGGUAACCUGCCCAUAAGACUGGGAUAACUCCGGGAAACCGGGGCUAAUACCGGAUAAUAUUUUGAACUGCAUGGUUCGAAAUUGAAAGGCGGCUUCGGCUGUCACUUAUGGAUGGACCCGCGUCGCAUUAGCUAGUUGGUGAGGUAACGGCUCACCAAGGCAACGAUGCGUAGCCGACCUGAGAGGGUGAUCGGCCACACUGGGACUGAGACACGGCCCAGACUCCUACGGGAGGCAGCAGUAGGGAAUCUUCCGCAAUGGACGAAAGUCUGACGGAGCAACGCCGCGUGAGUGAUGAAGGCUUUCGGGUCGUAAAACUCUGUUGUUAGGGAAGAACAAGUGCUAGUUGAAUAAGCUGGCACCUUGACGGUACCUAACCAGAAAGCCACGGCUAACUACGUGCCAGCAGCCGCGGUAAUACGUAGGUGGCAAGCGUUAUC